GCCCGGCAAGUUCAGUCGGUAGAGCACGAGACUCUUAAUCUCGGGGUCGUGAGUUCGAACCCCACGUUGAGCG
rfam:Octopus bimaculoides Scaffold464_contig_2, whole genome shotgun sequence.